GACGAACGCUGGCGGCGUGCCUAAUACAUGCAAGUCGAGCGGACUGAAUGGGAGCUUGCUCUUGUUCGGUCAGCGGCGGACGGGUGAGUAACACGUGGGCAACCUGCCCGCAAGACCGGGAUAACUCCGGGAAACCGGAGCUAAUACCGGAUAACACCGAAGACCGCAUGGUCUUUGGUUGAAAGGCGGCGCAAGCUGCCACUUGCGGAUGGGCCCGCGGCGCAUUAGCUAGUUGGUGAGGUAACGGCUCACCAAGGCGACGAUGCGUAGCCGGCCUGAGAGGGUGACCGGCCACACUGGGACUGAGACACGGCCCAGACUCCUACGGGAGGCAGCAGUAGGGAAUCUUCCGCAAUGGGCGAAAGCCUGACGGAGCGACGCCGCGUGAGCGAAGAAGGCCUUCGGGUCGUAAAGCUCUGUUGUGAGGGACGAAGGAGCGCCGGUUGAAGAAGGCGGCGCGGUGACGGUACCUCACGAGGAAGCCCCGGCUAACUACGUG
rnacentral:rRNA from 1 species